GACGAACGCUGGCGGCGUGCCUAAUACAUGCAAGUAGAACGCUGAAGAGAGGAGCUUGCUCUUCUUGGAUGAGUUGCGAACGGGUGAGUAACGCGUAGGUAACCUGCCUGGUAGCGGGGGAUAACUAUUGGAAACGAUAGCUAAUACCGCAUAAAAUGGAUUAUCGCAUGAUAAUCCAUUGAAAGGUGCAAAUGCAUCACUACCAGAUGGACCUGCGUUGUAUUAGCUAGUUGGUGGGGUAACGGCUCACCAAGGCGACGAUACAUAGCCGACCUGAGAGGGUGGACCGCCACACCUGGAACGAGAACAGGCCCCGACCUCCACCGGAAGGCAGAAGAGGGGAAUCUUCGGAAAUGGCGGGAGGCCUACCGGGGCACGGCGGGUUGGGGAAGGAGGUUUUCCGGUUCUAAAGCUCCGGUGUUAGGGGAAAAAGGGGGGUGGGGGUGAAAGGUCACCCCGGGAAGGGAUUUUACCAGAAAGGGACGGCUAACUACGUG
rnacentral:rRNA from 1 species